AUGGGAAUCAAGGGUUUGACGAAGCUGCUGGCGGAACACGCGCCGAGGGCCGCGGUGAAGCGGCGCGUGGAGGACUACCGGGGCCGCGUCAUCGCCAUCGACGCCAGCCUCAGCAUCUACCAGUUCCUGGUUGUGGUGGGAAGGAAAGGAACAGAAGUUCUGACCAAUGAGGCCGGUGAAGUCACAAGUCAUCUGCAAGGCAUGUUGAACCGGACUGUAAGAUUGCUUGAAGCAGGAAUAAAACCUGUGUUUGUGUUUGAUGGUGAGCCACCUGACCUGAAGAAAAAGGAACUAGCUAAGAGGUCUUUGAAGAGGGAUGAUGCUUCGAAAGAUCUUCAUAGUGCUAUUGAGGUUGGAGAUGAAGAUUCAGUUGAAAAAUUUAGCAAAAGGACUGUGAAGAUCACAAAAGAACACAACGAUGGCUGUAAGAGGCUGUUAAGAUUGAUGGGUGUCCCUAUAGUUGAGGCACCAGGUGAGGCAGAAGCACAGUGCGCAUCACUUUGUAAGAACCAUAAGGCAUAUGCUGUCGCUUCAGAGGAUAUGGACACACUGACUUUCGGUGCUCCAAGGUUUCUUCGCCAUGUAACUGACCUUAGUUUUAAGAAAUCUCCUGUAACAGAGUUUGAAGCGCCAAAGGUUUUGGAGGAACUUGGACUCACAAUGGAUCAGUUCAUCGACUUAUGUAUCCUUAGUGGAUGUGACUACUGCGAGAAUAUUAAAGGUAUUGGGGGACAAAGAGCCUUGAAACUCAUACGUCAGCAUGGUUGCAUAGAAGAAGUUGUGCAAAAUCUUCACAAGAGGUACACUGUUCCAGAAGAUUGGCCUUACCAGGAAGUUCGAACCUUGUUUAAGCAACCUAAUGUUUGUACAGAAAUUCCAGAUUUCCAGUGGGCCUCAGUAGACAAAGAGGGCCUUUUGGAUUUCCUGGCAUUUGAAAACAGUUUCAGUUCUGAUCGAGUGGAAAAGGCAGUAGAAAAGAUAAAGGCUGCUAACGAUAAAUAUUCCCCAGCAGGGCGAGCGAAGCUUUUGACACCAGUAGCUAACCUAUCAGGAUCUACAGAGAAGGAAUCCAAGUGCGUUUUAGGUGCUUCAGGACAAGGUCUGAGGAGCAGGACUGCUGUACAAGUAUGCAGUAGCUCAAGCUCUGGUUUCAGAUAUGGUAGUUCUAGUUCAAAGCCAUUGGUGCUGGGAAGGCAAUCAGGAGUUCAUGUGAAGCCUCCCACCUUUUCCUUCAUCUAA
rnacentral:rRNA from 1 species